CCCGCGCCGGCGCCCAAGCCUGACCCCGAUGGCGGCCGCGCCGACGAGUGGGCCCGCGAGCUGCGGCUCUUCGGCCGCGUCCUGGAGCGAGCCGCCUGCCUGCGGCGCUGCAAGCGGACGCUGCCCGCCUUCCAGGUGCCCUACCCGCCGCGGCAGCUGCUACGUGACUUCCAGAGCCGCCUGCCCUACCAGUACCUGCACUACGCGCUGUUCAAGGCUAACCGGCUGGAGAAGGCGGUGGCGGCGGCCUACACCUUCCUCCAGAGGAACCCGAAGCACGAGCUGACCUCCAAGUAUCUCAACUACUAUCGGGGGAUGCUGGACGUCGCCGACGAGUCCCUCACGGACCUAGAGGCCCAGCCCUACGAGGCCGUGUUCCUCCGGGCUGUGAAGCUCUACAACAGCGGGGAUUUCCGCAGCAGCACGGAGGACAUGGAGCGGGCCUUGGCAGAGUACCUGGCAGUCUUUGCCCGGUGCCUGGCCGGCUGUGAAGGGGCCCAUGAGCAGGUGGACUUCAAGGACUUCUACCCGGCCAUAGCAGGUAUCCGUCACCCAGACCCCGGUGGGCAGUCCUCUCACCCACAGGCCCAGUAAGGCAGAUGUUCCCUCCCUGCACGUGGAGCACUGCGAAUGUGGAGGAGCCAGCCGGGAGGAAGGCCUUGUCUGUUGAGAAUGACGCUGGGUGCAAGGGCCCCAGCUGGGAGUGUCCAAGAGGCUGGAUC
rnacentral:sRNA from 1 species